rnacentral:rRNA from 1 species
GAUGAACGCUGGCGGCGUGCUUAACACAUGCAAGUCGAACGGGAAAUAUUUCAUUGAGACUUCGGUGGAUUUGAUUUAUUUCUAGUGGCGGACGGGUGAGUAACGCGUGGGUAACCUGCCUUAUACAGGGGGAUAACAGUCAGAAAUGGCUGCUAAUACCGCAUAAGCGCACAGAGCUACAUGGCUCAGUGUGAAAAACUCCGGUGGUAUAAGAUGGACCCGCGUUGGAUUAGCUAGUUGGUGGGGUAACGGCCCACCAAGGCGACGAUCCAUAGCCGGCCUGAGAGGGUGAACGGCCACAUUGGGACUGAGACACGGCCCAGACUCCUACGGGAGGCAGCAGUGGGGAAUAUUGCACAAUGGGGGAAACCCUGAUGCAGCGACGCCGCGUGAAGGAAGAAGUAUCUCGGUAUGUAAACUUCUAUCAGCAGGGAAGAUAGUGACGGUACCUGACUAAGAAGCCCCGGCUAACUACGUG